rnacentral:rRNA from 1 species
GAUGAACGCUGGCGGCGUGCCUAAUACAUGCAAGUCGAGCGAACAGACGAGGAGCUUGCUCCUCUGACGUUAGCGGCGGACGGGUGAGUAACACGUGGAUAACCUAUCUAUAAGACUAGGAUAACUUCGGGAAACCGGAGCUAAUACCGGAUAAUAUAUUGAACCGCAUGGUUCAAUAGUGAAAGACGGUUUUGCUGUCACUUAUAGAUGGAUCCGCGCCGCAUUAGCUACUUGGUAAGGUAAAGGCUUACCAAGGCAACGAUGCGUAGCCGACCUGAGAGGGUGAUCGGCCACACUGGAACUGAGACACGGUCCAGACUCCUACGGGAGGAAGCAGUAGGGAAUCUUCCGCAAUGGGCGAAAGCCUGACGGAGCAACGCCGCGUGAGUGAUGAAGGUCUUCGGAUCGUAAAACUCUGUUAUUAGGGAAGAACAAAUGUGUAAGUAACUAUGCACGUCUUGACGGUACCUAAUCAGAAAGCAACGGCUAACUACGUG